rnacentral:lncRNA from 1 species
GUUUUGAACUCAGCAUUCAUGUUGUUUGAUUUUCUCUUUUUUUUCUUGUGUAUAACUCAUAACUUUGGGGGUUUAUUUACUUUUGACUCUUUUCAACUCAAUUCUUUGUGAGCAUUUUAUAGGUGUUAGAGUCUUAAGUCUCGGCAAGUGCAUUUUUCUCUUUUUUUCUUUCUUUUUGGACAGACACAUGUCUCUUCUUUUUGUAUUACUUUUAGAUCUCUUAUUAUGCACUUGCCCUUUCUUUCAAGAUUACC